AAAGGCAGAGUUCAGGUGUGAGUGCACCUCAGGUCAGGGAAACUGCUGCAAAUAACAGAGGGUAAAUCUGGAAGAGGUGCUGGAUAAACAAGAGAGGAGGUACCGAGGAGAACACUACCUCUUCAGUCUUAGAAAGGGAAGCAGCCAGAUGAAUCCGGCUGCUAAAGGAAUGGCAGAAGAAAAGAAGCCAGAGAAGCAAUAAAAACCAGACGACUUCACUGCCACAUGGACUGCAAACAUGGAAGAAAUGACAAACUGGACCAGCAAGUUUGUCACUGGCCAUGGCACAGAAACCACCUUUACCUGCCAGCCUCAGAGAGCUCAUGCUUGAGGGAACUGCCAUCUCCAAAUCAUACCAACCUCCAUCCUCUUAAUUCCCCCAACUCCUCGUCCACCGUAGUAGGAAGCAUCCACCGUGGGCCACUUCUUGGAAGGCAAGGGCUCCUGUUCUUCUUCCUGGAGGCUCAUCAUAUGAAACACAGUGGAGGAAGCCCAGACUGUGAGGGUGCAGAUGGAGGCUGAGAUUUCCUGCCCUUGGACAGCCAGAGGCCCGAUGGACCCCCCCAGGUCCCAAGGGCUGCAGCACAGUCAGUUACUGAUCUAUGAGCAAAGAAAUCCUGUUGGGAGCCAUGUGUGGUGAUGGGCAAAAGAGAUUCUCCCUGUGCUCCACGCCCAAUGGAAAAGCUGCUCUCCAGUCUCGUGUGAGGAGGAGGACUGACGAGCCCCUGAACCCCACAGCACCCCUGGCACACCACCCAGGACCGGCAGAGACCUUGCAAAAAACAAGCAGGUACCAGUGGGAGAUGCUGUUGGACUCCUGGGAGUUCGGUAAUUCACCCUCCCCCAGUGCCAAAGCCAGGUCAGCCUGAGGAAGUGCUGCUGACAGCACAGCUGGAAAAGAAGGCAUCAGAUUCAUGGAGAGAGGCUGGAGCAUAUCUUUGGGAAGCCAGUGCAGUAGAAUUUUUAAGAAAUUUUGGAACACUGUAGAUAAAACAACUCUAGGCUGACCCUAUUUUGACCUACUUCCUCUAAAGUUCUGCAUGUAUCAGCUCCUGUAGUCUUAUCUGGAGAACAACUGUCAAUGCAUCCAAAGAUGGAUUAAUUUUCUAAAGAAAGUUCAAGGAAGAUUCUGGAACUACAUUUAAGUAACAAGGAAAAUAAGUUGCUGCAUUACAGCAUUCACAAAAACCACACUGCUCAAAGGAAGUGAUAAAUUCGUGACUGUGUAGUAUCCUGUGUCACACAGUUGAAACAGUGUCAAACCACUGAUCACAACCAAAAUGUUUCUCUUUGAUCCCUUCCUGCAAAUCAUGGUAAUCAGCUGAAUGGCCUCAUCUCACCGACAGGAGUUUCUCAUGCCAUGCUGAAAACUGGAACUGAGUCUUUCCACUUAUUGGGAUAACAAGGGGUUAAACUCAUGGAUUUAAAAUGCUUCUCUACUAAACCCAAAGCAGUCAUUUAUCAGAGCAUCCCCCAAACUUCGCACAUGAACUCCCCUCUCCUUGUGAAGAGUCCUCAAAUUCCACACGAGGUGUGAGCAUGAAUAACUGCAGGAGGCGCAAGCAGUGCUCAUUUACAGAACUGCCUCUCUAAGGAAGGAGCCUUUCGUGUACCUCUCCUUGAAGCCACUUUGACCGAACAGGAGUAGCUACAGUGUACACUGGGACACAGCAACUCUGGAACAGCUUCCCAGUGAAGGACAUGAAUCCCACCUUCUUUUCCUUAUCCCAAGACUGUUACAUAUACACUGCUUGAAUCUUGUCUACAGCUCCUUUGUUCAUGUGAUCAGUACCCUGACCUGGUUGCCAUUCCAGUGAGAGGGGCUUGCCUGCACCCUCUCGUUGGCAGCUCCCAGCUAACAAGGGUAUUUCCAACGGGUCUCCUUGGCAGUGAGCACAACACCCACACAUUCUAUUUAUGUCUACGUACACAUCCGAGUGUGCUUCCUGAGCCAGAGAAGACAUUACGCUGCCUAAUGUUGUUACCCAAAGAGUGAGAACAGAGGAUGUGUUGAUUGCAAGAAGAUGAGUAAAACCUACCUGCUUUAGUCCUUCAUGUAUGU